UGGGGAAUAUUGGACAAUGGGGGCAACCCUGAUCCAGCAAUGCCGCGUGUGUGAAGAAGGUCUUCGGAUUGUAAAGCACUUUCGACGGGGACGAUGAUGACGGUACCCGUAGAAGAAGCCCCGGCUAACUUCGUGCCAGCAGCCGCGGUAAUACGAAGGGGGCUAGCGUUGCUCGGAAUGACUGGGCGUAAAGGGCGUGUAGGCGGUUUACACAGUCAGAUGUGAAAUCCCCGGGCUUAACCUGGGAGCUGCAUUUGAUACGUGUAGACUAGAGUGUGAGAGAGGGUUUGUGGAAUUCCCAGUGUAGAGGUGAAAUUCGUAGAUAU
rnacentral:rRNA from 1 species